GCCGGGUGCGGUGGCAUGUGCCUGUAAUCCAAGUCACUGGGAGGCUGAGGUUGGUGGAUCAAAUGAGCUGAGGAGCUCUGGGCUGCAGCACACUAUGUUGAACGUGUGUCCACGCUAAGAUCGAUAUGGUGUUCCAGGGGGAGCCCGGGACCACCAGGUUGUCUAAGGAGGGGUGAACCGGCCCAGGUCGGAAACGAAGCAGGUCAAAUCCCCUGUGCUUUCCAGUAGUUGGAUAAUACCUGUGAGUAGAAGCAAAAAAAAUGUAAACGUAUUUUUAUCUGCUACACAAAUUGUCACUU
rnacentral:SRP_RNA from 1 species